CUGCUGGCUUCAGCAGCAUAUAUACUAAAAUUACAAUGACACAGAGAAGAUUAGCAUGGCUCCUGUGCAAGGAUGACAUGCAAAUUCAGGAAGGCCUCCAUUACAAA
ensembl:snRNA U6 U6 spliceosomal RNA